CCUCGACAAAUUCGUUGUUGAGAGCCCGAAUGGGAGACAUCCGUGCUAUACGACCGUCCCCGCGCGAUACGACCUUAGUGACGCUGCGUAUGGCUAUGUUUCCCCCCUUCCAGUUGUGAGGGCUCUGGAAGCGAGGAUCAUUCAGGCUCUUGCGUAUAUUGCACUCGCAAGGAUUUAUACAUGGAGUUUCGCUACAGCUCGACUCUCUUUCCAUUGAGGACUUCCAUAUAAAAAUUAUGGAGAUCCUGACCUUAUACCUGUUGAGCAAUGUGAUGGAAAACCACUUCCAUCAAAUAUCCCGCCAAUCAGUGUACCCUCACUGAUACCAGGGUAUUGCUCAGUGGCGCUGGCGAGGCAUUCGCUCCAGCAUCUCAUCAUCGUCAGGC
rnacentral:sRNA from 1 species